CUUCCUUCCCAAACACUAAAUAAUCAUCCACAAUUGCUUCAAGGAUACCAGCAGUACAGCAGUUCAAUGCUAGAAACAGCAGUUUUGGGUUUCUUCUUACAUGGAUGGUUUGAAGCUGUCAGACCAGCAGCCGGGUGGUUGCUGCUCCCACCCUUGAGCAGUGGCCUCCAUCUAAUCCAAGCUGUUUCUCAGGCAUGGAGAAAAAGCACUUGUGCAGCCUAGCUGCAAACUCAACCAACCCUCUGCCGGAGCGUUGUACUUGUUUCUCCUUGUCUGUACACAACUCUGGACGUUAUAUGCCUUUCACAGCACAGGGUCCUCAGCUGGAAUCAAAUGAGGGGGUUUUUGAUGUUUUAUCCUACUCCAGAACCUACUGAAAACUGCAGAUGAUUAAAUGCCUCUAGUUCCAUAAUGUAAUAAUUUAUCCUAAUUGAUCAGGUUUUACAUAGAA